ACGCUCGACACCUACGAGAGGCAGCAGUGGGGAAUAUUGCACAAUGGGGGAAACCCUGAUGCAGCGACGCCGCGUGGAGGAAGAAGGUCUUCGGAUUGUAAACUCCUGUUGUUGGGGAAAAAGAGGAUGGUACCCAACAAGGAAGUGACGGCUAACUACGUGCCCGNAGCCGCCGGUAAGUACUGAGCGGGCGUGGCGAAGGACG
rnacentral:rRNA from 1 species